UCCAGAGUUUGAUCCUGGUCAGAACGAACGCUGGCGGCAGGCCUAACACAUGCAAGUCGAGCGGAUGAAGGGAGCUUGCUCCUGGAUUCAGCGGCGGACGGGUGAGUAAUGCCUAGGAAUCUGCCUGGUAGUGGGGGAUAACGUCCGGAAACGGGUGCUAAUACCGCAUACGUCCUGAGGGAGAAAGUGGGGGAUCUUCGGACCUCACGCUAUCAGAUGAGCCUAGGUCGGAUUAGCUAGUUGGUGGGGUAAAGGCCUACCAAGGCGACGAUCCGUAACUGGUCUGAGAGGAUGAUCAGUCACACUGGAACUGAGACACGGUCCAGACUCCUACGGGAGGCAGCAGUGGGGAAUAUCGGACAAUGGGCGAAAGCCUGAUCCAGCCAUGCCGCGUGUGUGAAGAAGGUCUUCGGAUUGUAAAGCACUUUAAGUUGGGAGGAAGGGCAGUAAGUUAAUACCUUGCUGUUUUGACGUUACCAACAGAAUAAGCACCGGCUAACUUCGUGCCAGCAGCCGCGGUAAUACGAAGGGUGCAAGCGUUAAUCGGAAUUACUGGGCGUAAAGCGCGCGUAGGUGGUUCAGCAAGUUGGAUGUGAAAUCCCCGGGCUCAACCUGGGAACUGCAUCCAAAACUACUGAGCUAGAGUACGGUAGAGGGUGGUGGAAUUUCCUGUGUAGCGGUGAAAUGCGUAGAUAUAGGAAGGAACACCAGUGGCGAAGGCGACCACCUGGACUGAUACUGACACUGAGGUGCGAAAGCGUGAGGAGCAAACAGGAUUAGAUACCCUGGUAGUCCACGCCGUAAACGAUGUCGACUAGCCGUUGGGAUCCUUGAGAUCUUAGUGGCGCAGCUAACGCGAUAAGUCGACCGCCUGGGGAGUACGGCCGCAAGGUUAAAACUCAAAUGAAUUGACGGGGGCCCGCACAAGCGGUGGAGCAUGUGGUUUAAUUCGAAGCAACGCGAAGAACCUUACCUGGCCUUGACAUGCUGAGAACUUUCCAGAGAUGGAUUGGUGCCUUCGGGAACUCAGACACAGGUGCUGCAUGGCUGUCGUCAGCUCGUGUCGUGAGAUGUUGGGUUAAGUCCCGUAACGAGCGCAACCCUUGUCCUUAGUUACCAGCACCUCGGGUGGGCACUCUAAGGAGACUGCCGGUGACAAACCGGAGGAAGGUGGGGAUGACGUCAAGUCAUCAUGGCCCUUACGGCCAGGGCUACACACGUGCUACAAUGGUCGGUACAAAGGGUUGCCAAGCCGCGAGGUGGAGCUAAUCCCAUAAAACCGAUCGUAGUCCGGAUCGCAGUCUGCAACUCGACUUGCGUGAAGUCGGAAUCGCUAGUAAUCGUGAAUCAGAAUGUCACGGUGAAUACGUUCCCGGGCCUUGUACACACCGCCCGUCACACCAUGGGAGUGGGUUGCUCCAGAAGUAGCUAGUCUAACCGCAAGGGGGACGGUUACCACGGAGUGAUUCAUGACUGGGGUGAAGUCGUAACAAGGUAGCCGUAGG
rnacentral:rRNA from 1 species